ACUUCCCCUGAGGCGCUGUGUGAGCACUGAGGCUGCUGUCCCAGGCUGAGCAGUAAUAGGCAGGCUUGUCCUUGGUCUGGAGGCCAGAGAUGGUCAGAGAUGCCAUGUUCCUAACCGGGAGCCAGGGAAUCUCUCUGAGAUCCCUGAGAGUUGGCUGUUUUUCCUGUUGAUCAGGUGUUUGGGGGCAUGGCCCUGGUGCUGCUGCGGCCAGACAGCUCCAUCUUUGCCAACAUUGUUGCUGUCCCCAGUGCAGUACAGGAGAGGGUGACCUUCUGUCCCACGGUCCCUGACACCGAGGCUUCCUGGGUCAGCGCAGACUGUGCCCAGGACCCUGGAACAGAGGAGGCAGGCACAGAGAGGCAGUCACCUGAGCAGAGGGUGAGAAGCUGGAGGAGGAGAGGGGUCCAGGCCAUGGUGGAGAUGCCCCAGGCUCUGCUUCCUAAGCCCACAGCUGAGCAGAACUGCACAGAGUCUCUCUUAUCCUCUCCUCCUAAGAGGGCACAGAGCACCCUUCAUGCAAAUCACACCCCUCCCCCUGCUAUCCCUGGGCCUGAACUUGGGGAAAGUUGAGUGUGGGGUGGGGCUAGAGGAGCCUCUUCUGCUCCUGGGAGGUCCCAGCUGCUGGGCCCCAGAAAGCACAGAGCAGAGGGCCCAGGGUAGGGGUCCAGGGCCUGGUUUCCCAGUUGAAACCCCCACAGACCCUCAGGGACAGGCCACACUUCCCUCCACUGUCUCAGAGCCCAGGUUCAUUCCUGACUGGCUUGAAGGUCCUCAGCACUGCCUUGCGCACACCAUCCCCACACAGAGGCAGCGCUCACGCCCCUCCACCCCCACCCCAGGCUCUUUGUGCUGCAGGUGCUCACCACAGCACAUUUCUCGCUGCAAGAUGGGCCUCCUCAGCAUGAAGUCAUCCUCUGCUUCUUCCCCAUUUAGAUUUUUGUGUGGUUGGGGCCAUAGGUGAGUGAGCCUCAGAGAGAACAUGUCCUGCACCCAGUGGCCAGGAGGGCAGGAGGGUUAACAACCCUCCCCAGCCUCCAUAUGGGCCUGAGGGCACCUGCUUCUCUCUCUCAUCAUACCCCACAUCCCCCCGUGGGAGGCCGGGCUCCGUGACCCUCAUCACUGUCCUCAUCACACCCUUGAUGGGGUGAGACCCUUAAUGAAAAUGCACAGGGAAAUUAUUCAAGAAGAGACCAUCAUUAUGAAAGAGAGAAAAGUCUGCUUCUCUUAUGGAUACUUGGACCUGAGGAAGAUGACCAAGGUCACCACUCUCCCUAGAUACAGCCCAGAGAGGGGCCACCGGGAUGACUAGGCACCAGACUCCUCCCAAAUUAUUUCUUGCAUGAGAUCCAAGAACCCUCUCUUGGGAUCUGAAUCAGGACCCCUUUCCAGUAACACCUGCAGGAAGCACAUCCUGGCCCCUUCCCUGCUCCACUGACUGGAGGCACAGGCCAAGGUCCAUGGAGGUGAACCACCCAGCACCCCUCAGCCUCUUGGAACUUGCAGCCCACAGCCUGCUGAGCAAUGAGGCUUCAGUUCCACUGGUGUUGGAACAGCUCACAGUGAACCUUUUCCCGCCACUACUCACUGCUGCAUUUGCCAAGGGGCACAGAAAGGCUCUGAAGGCCUUGGUGCAGGCCUGGCCCUUCCGGUUUCUCCAUCUGGGCUCUCUGAUAGUGCAGUGGCCCAACCAAGACAGCCUGCAAGCUGUGGUGGAUGGGCUGGAGGCCUUUUCUGCCCACAGGGCUUGUCCCAGGAAGUCAGAACUGAGGAUGCUGGAUUUCACCCUGGACUCUGAGCAAGUCUUUUACUGUGGUAAAGGGGCUUCUGAAGCCUUGGCCAAGUUCCCAUUUUGGUUACCAUCAGCAGUCAAGGCAGAGACGCCCCAGGCCACGGCCAGGCCCAAGCCAGCAAAGAACAUGAAAAAAGGAUGAAAGCAGCCAUGGGAAGCAGUGGAAAUACACAUUGAUCUUUUCCUAUGAGGCUUCUUCAAGUUAGAUAAGUUCCUCUCCGACCUCCUGACGAAAGUGGAACAGAGCCACGGGGCCCUGCAUCUCUGCUGUAGGAAGUUGCACAUUGAGAAGAUGGCCGUCGACAGUCUGCUGAGGAUCCUGAAGACACUCAGGCUGGAUUUCAUCCAGGAGCUGGAGGUGUUUUACUGGUGUAGAGACUUCUUGGUAUUGGCAGAGCCAAACCUAUCUGCCAUACAGCUGGGAAGGAUCUUCAACCUGCGCAGCCUCAAGCUCUUCUACUACAAGUGGGCCUUCUCCUCAUGGGUCAGGCGGCCCUCCAGCUACUUCUUCUCCCAGCUCACCAUGCUGGGCCACCUCCGGAAGCUGCACCUGUCUCACUCCUACCUCGUAGGCAAACUACAUUACAUACUCAGCUGUCUGUGGGUCCCACUACAUUCCCUGGAGAUCUGCAACUGCAAGCUUCUGGACACUGACAUCACCUACUUGUCCCGGAGCCAUCAUACCACCUGCCUGAAGAAGCUGGAUCUGAGCGUCAACGACUUGUCCUACAUGAUCCCUGGGCCCUUGGGUACCCUGCUGAGGGCAGUCUCAGGGACACUGCAGCACCUAGACCUGAAACACUGCUGGCUGAAGGAUGCCCACCUCAGUGCCCUCCUGCCCGCCCUGUGCCGCUGCUCCCACCUCAGUUCCCUGAGCCUCUCCGACAACCCCAUCUCCAGUGCCUGCCUCCUGAGCCUGCUGGAGCACACCAUGGGGCUGAUGGAGCUGAAGCAGGUACUCUAUCCCAUCCCAGUUGACUGCUGCAUCUACCUGCAUGGCGUCUGCCGGGGUCCUGUGAACGAGGACAAGCUGUGCCAGUUGCAGGCCGAGAUACAGAAGCAGCUGCAAGCCAUGCAGCAGGCUGACAUGCAGUGGAGCCCCUCCACUGUCUUUGCUUAUGCAGCUGGUGCAGUUUGAAUGAAGAACAGGAGCCAGGCUCAGGGAACAGAAGUCAGAGAGGGCAGCUGGAAUCACAGCUGAGGCCACAUGUUGUUUGCAAGGAACAUAAAAUAAACUUCCAUGGGAACU
rnacentral:lncRNA from 1 species